rnacentral:misc_RNA from 1 species
UCCGGCUUAACGCCGGCAGUCUCCAUAGAGUGCCCAACUGAAUGGUGGCAACUAAGGAUAAGGGUUGCGCUCGUUAAGGGACUUAACCCGACAUCUCACGAUACGAGCUGACGACAGCCAUGCAGCACCUGUCUCGGAGCCCCCGAAGGGGAGACCGUAUCUCUACGGCUGUCUCCGGAUGUCAAACCCAGGUAAGGUUCUUCGCGUUGCAUCGAAUUAAACCACAUGCUCCACCGCUUGUGCGGGCCCCCGUCAAUUCCUUUGAGUUUUAGCCUUGCGGCCGUACUCCCCAGGCGGGGCACUUAAUGCGUUAGCGCCGGCACUGAGAGCCUGAUUGCUCCCAACGUCCAGUUCGCAUCGUUUAGGGCGUGGACUAC